UACGUAGGGUGCAAGCGUUAAUCGGAAUUACUGGGCGUAAAGCGUGCGCAGGCGGUUUUAUAAGUUUGGCGUGAAAGCCCCGGGCUCAACCUGGGAAUGGCGAUGAAGACUGUAAGGCUAGAGUGUGUCAGAGGGGGGUAGAAUUCCACGUGUAGCAGUGAAAUGCGUAGAUAUGUGGAGGAACACCGAUGGCGAAGGCAGCCCCCUGGGAUAACACUGACGCUCAUGCACGAAAGCGUGGGGAGCAAACAGG
rnacentral:rRNA from 1 species